CUUUCCCCCCCUUUCCUUUUUUUUAGCUGAUCGAGAAAGAGAUGAUUUUCAAGAUGAGUACACUAAGAAGCCGAAGUCCAAAUCAAGAGGAAAAUCAAGCCCUGAAAAGAAUUCUUCAAAACAUAGUAGUUCCAGAAAAUCUAAAAAAAGUCCUGCUAAGAGUAAACCAAAUGAUAACAAAAGAAAACGAGAAAAUGACAAGCAUAGUAAAGAAUCGAGUAAAAAGCACAAGAAAUGAUUUGGUGUAUUAUAUUUUCCAAGAAUUCCUGUGCAUAAUCAAAGCACCGGGGAUCCUCUGUUUUGGGGAACAUUCCUCUGCAUCUGCAUCAAAUUGUUCCUGAAAGGAGUGAAACAGUACUGAUGCAUCUUUUGUAAAAUAAUGUAAUAUAUUUAUAAAUUCAUUCAUCAUUGAACUGCUUUUAACUUCCCCGGAAGAAGUAUAAAAUGAGAAAAGAAAUAUGUAGGAACAUUUUACAUUGUAUGUUGUUACACACAUUGUCUUAUAAAACAGUGCAGGUUUAUCAUUUGUUGGCAUAUUUGUAAUUCCCUCCAGUUCAAUAUGUAAAAGGAUGAAGUAGAUGCUUCAAUCCAAAUAAAGUGACAAAUUUUUUAGUACUUU